rnacentral:rRNA from 1 species
AGGGAUUGCCUCAGUAACGGCGAGUGAAGCGGCAAAAGCUCAAAUUUGAAAUCUAGCACUUUCAGUGUUCGAGUUGUAAUUUGAAGAAGGUAACUUUGGUUUUGGCUCUUGUCUAUGUUCCUUGGAACAGGACGUCACAGAGGGUGAGAAUCCCGUGCGAUGAGAUGCCCAAUUCCAUGUAAAGUGCUUUCGAAGAGUCGAGUUGUUUGGGAAUGCAGCUCUAAGUGGGUGGUAAAUUCCAUCUAAAGCUAAAUAUUGGCGAGAGACCGAUAGCGAACAAGUACAGUGAUGGAAAGAUGAAAAGAACUUUGAAAAGAGAGUGAAAAAGUACGUGAAAUUGUUGAAAGGGAAGGGCUUGAGAUCAGACUUGGUAUUUUGCGUUCCCUUCCUUUUUGGUUGGGUUCCUCGCAGUUUACUGGGCCAGCAUCGGUUUGGAUGGUAGGAUAAUGACAUUGGAAUGUAGCUUUACUUCGGUGAAGUGUUAUAGACUUUGUUGAUACUGCCUAUCUAGACCGAGGACUGCGUCUUUGACUAGGAUGCUGGCGUAAUGAUCUUAAGCCGCCCGUCUUGAAACACGGACCUCCUGUGUGAAGU